rnacentral:rRNA from 1 species
GUCGAGAAUCUUUCACAAUGGGGGCAACCCUGAUGGAGCGACGCCGCGUGGAGGAUAAGGUCUUCGGAUUGUAAACUCCUGUCAUGCGUGAACAAGGUUGCUUGGAUAAUACCUGAGCAAAUUGAUGGUAGCGCAAGAGGAAGAGACGGCUAACUCUGUGCCAGCAGCCGCGGUAAUACAGAGGUCUCAAGCGUUGUUCGGAAUCACUGGGCGUAAAGGGUGCGUAGGUGGCGUGGCAAGUCAGAUGUGAAAGCCCGGGGCUCAACCUCGGAACUGCAUCCGAUACUGCCAUGCUAGAGUACUGGAGAGGUGACUAGAAUUCUCGGUGUAGCAGUGAAAUGCGUAGAUAUCGAGAGGAAUACCAAAGGCGUAGGCAGGUCACUGGACAGUUACUGACACUGAGGCACGAAGGCCAGGGGAGCGAACGGGAUUAGAUACCCUUGUAGUCC